rnacentral:rRNA from 1 species
UACGUAGGGAGCAAGCGUUGUCCGGAAUCAUUGGGCGUAAAGCGCGCGUAGGUGGCUUCGUAAGUCCGUUGUGAAAGUCAAAGGCUCAACCUUUGAAAGCCGAUGGAUACUGCGGAGCUAGAGUGCGGUAGAGGAGAGUGGAAUUCCCGGUGUAGCAGUGAAAUGCGUAGAGAUCGGGAGGAACAUCAGUUGCGAAGGCGGCUCGCCUGGGACC